CCCAAUCCUACCAUGCUCAACCAGUUCUCACUGCACCGCCACAACCCCUACUCCUCAAGGGAUCAUCAUCCAAGACGAAGACCACCAUCAAGGUGCCAACCGGCACGAGGAUCCUUCCACCUAGACCCAAUGAGAGGGUCGUUGGAGUCAAGACCAACCGGAGCGGCGAGAUCAGCAGCAUUCGCUACACUACGGAGGAGAGACCUUACUUCGAAGGGAUUAGAGCAGCCAAAGUCCAUUUCAUCCCCCCAAAGGCAGCCCCGAAGCACGCUCUUAAUACUUUUGAGACACCUCCUAAGCGUCGCAAGACUAUAGUCGAUAUUGAUGAGGACGUUCGCAGGCUAGACAGAGUUAUCAUAGACCUCCAGUCCUCGAUUAAUUCCCUCACUAGGCAGAUCUCUAACCACAACACCAUUAUACUAGGCCUUAGACAUGAUCUUGCUAGUGCCAAUAAGAAGAUUAAGGAGUUAGAGCGCCGCUAAGUUAUCUAGAUUAGAUCUUGAGGCAAUGCAUCUCAGUUACUUAUCUUUAAAUUCGGUUUAGGUUUACUAUUAUCAUCAGUUUGUUACUAUUACUGUCAGUUUGCUACUAGUCUUUUGUAAUAAAUGCCUCAAGAUUAAUAAAGAAUAUUAUUAUUAUUAUGUCUUGUGUGUCUCCACUUUAUUCUUGUGCAAGAAAGCAGAAAAACAAGUAUGGGGGAGAUCCCUCGACAUACCAAACAUACUUCGACUACACCACUCCACGAUUUAGGUACACACUCUGCACACUUACUUUACACAUACAUAUAUCUUAGAUUAUGCAUAAUACUGUUUCCGACAUGAUAAAUUAAAAAGAUUAAAAUAUUUCUAAUCAUGAUUAAUCUCACUCUGUAAUAUUUCCUGAAACUUGCAAUUAUUGAAAAAUCAUUUUAAAAACCCUGUGUUACUUCAGUCAUUAUGGAAUAUGAGAUGGUAGAGUAUGAGUUUCUUAUUCUUGAUAUCAUUGUUGCUUGGAGAAUUUAUUCAAAAAUUCUAGCUACCAUCCUCAGUGUUUUAUAUGCCUACUAAAACUAAAAAUAUUAAUUAUGAUUGUAAAGGCUAUCUACUCUGUAUUGAGUUUGUUCAAAAUGAGUUAGACCCUUGUUGAGAGAUUUAUCAUGCUCCUAAGAUCAAGACAUUUAUUCAGAAAGAUUCACUCUUCCGAAGUAUUAUUGCAUUAGAGGCAUGGGCUAUGCAAAAAUAAAGAUAUUUCGAGGAAAUAAAAAGGAGCAAGUGCUCGAUAACCUCGCAGAAAAAAUGGACAAGUGUCCGGCAGUAGAAUUAGGGGUACCUCGGUAUCCACUUAAAAAAAAGAAGAGAAAAAAAGAAAGAAAAUGAUAGCCCAUGGUCCCUCUAAUAAGCAAUAUGCCAGCAAGAGUUGACAAAGAUUUUAAUUUUCAAAGUCCUUGAUCUAAGAGUAUGACAUUCCUCUCCUCGGAUCCCGCUUUGAUCAGGCAAUAGAUGCGAAGUAAGUAUGCUUAAGAAUUUUUGCAAAUUAAAACAGCCUCAGUGAGAUAUAUAAAAGAUAAAGAGUGAUUUCAGAGAACCUAUAUGAGGAUAAAAGGUAUGCUAACUUUCUUUCAAAAAUAUACAAAAAUUCCAAGUGACAGGAUUAAGAAUAAAGGAUCUUUACUCUUAACCAUAUACUUCCCUGACUAUGGUACACAGUGGAUUUUAAUACCCAGCAAAUAUGAAGAGAAUAUUUUAAAAUGUUUUACCCCAGAUAUUGUUCUUAACCAUCCUUUUCUCGAGGACGAGUAAAAGCCUAAGUAUGGGGGUAUUUGUUGACGGUUCUUAAGUAUCAAUUUUAAUUAUCAAAUAAACAAGAGAAAGGACCAAUAUACAAACAACACCUAGAAUUAGGGUUUGAUCUGACAGAAUUCCACGAGUUUUGUUGUUUAUCUGUUUCUACAGGGGGUUAUUAGGAAAUAAGGAAGAAAGGCCCCACAUGUCGGGAUUACAUAGAGAUAUCAACGCACCGCGCAAUUUUCUACCAUCUAGAAGACUCCAGAAGCCACGGGAAGGAAGCAGAGGCCGAACGGGGCCAGGCACUGGGCGCCCGCCCAGUUGACCUGGGCGCCCGCCCCCCUCUAGACUUGGUUCGGGACUCUUUUCGCACAUGAUGCUCCACCGACCUAAAGGAUCAAGGAUAACCGUCCAAUCAAUGUCGGUUUGAUCCAAUGGCUCACGUUUACUUGAAGAGACUAUAAAACCAGGCCCCCUGGCCCCUGGAGGAGACAAGUUUAUCAUAGAGUUGAGGGGAGCCCUCGAAGGAAAACCUCUUCUCUAAAUAAAAUUUCUUUUUAGGCUUAGCAACCAAUGUGAGUAGAAAUAUAUCUUCUAGUUUCUACUAGAUUGAGAGAGAUAGAGUGGAGGUGUAGAUUGGAGGAAGCCCGGCCUGUCAGUGUCUACUCCAAGUUUGUACCUGCGGGAUCAAGUUCUCCUAACCCAAAGCUUGCUCCUAGGAUUCUUCAGUAUUUCGACUUCUAAAUUCUAGUAAGUUCUUGUUUUAUUGUUCUUUUGGUUUAUGAGUUUACUUUAAUCUCUUCGCGUAGAGUUUAGAGUAAUCAUUGCUAGCGUAAACGUGGUGUUUAGGCUAGGGUACUCAUAGAUAUUCCCUGACUAGCUGGACCGUGGUAGUAGCGAGGAACCUGACAUUUUCGAGUUACCUUUGAAGACCAUAUCUCGUUAGCAGGAAAGAUAGGGUUUAUAGGUGCGGGUUGAACAUCCUCUGUGGUGUCUAGAUUCCGUUAGCCUCCCCAAUAAAACAGUAGAUCAUCCUUACCAAGGUUAGAAAGAGACUACGGUUGCAGUCUUCUCUGUUUAUCACUCACAUCGAGAAACAUUCUUUGUUGCCUAAAGGGUUAGUAGUAAUAGACCGGGUUAGUCAGAUGCACUCUUUCUCCUAGUGGUAAAAAAAUAAAUACGAUACUCUGGAUAACCUCCCGGGUGAAGUGCUCACCGAUAUCCGUGUGCUUGCGGAUCAAUUCCUUAUUGCGUUCCCAAAUAUCAACAUUGAUCAGCUGAAGCACAAGAAAAAACACGAACACUCCAUACUCCUUGGUAUGAGCAGAUUAACACGACAACGUAGCGACCAUGUUAUUAUGUUUUGUCCAUCUUGUGCUAACCAAAUGGAGACUUCCAACGGGGAGGGGGAGUGGACAUAGCACGGCUUGCCACCUAGCUCACAUAGAACGUAUCAUCAUGCAUGCUAAAUCGAAGGAUAACACCUAUGGCAAGCUUGUCGUGGUCAGCGUCAACCAUGGACUAGACUGCACUCCAAUAGAAGAAUCCUAGCAAGCAAACAGGAGUUCUAGCCUUGAUAGGGUAAGGUGGAUCAAUGGUGGCUUUCCACUCCAACGUCUCUCUGGCAUCGCCAAGCGUCAAGACCUCAUGUCCAACUUCGUAUUCUGUAUAUAUUUGUCCUUCACUGUAUGAGCGCAAGAAGUGCCUAGCCACCUUAUAUGUACCACUGCAAGGAUCAAAGCUAAAGGCGACCCUUUGGUCCAACAACACAUUCUGGGUGCCCCGCGGCAACUCGACAAACUCCUUGGUGGUCGGGUUGCACACAAAUAUGUGCCCUGUGAUGCUGGGGAUCAGAACCAAUCCGUUGUAGUGCAGGGGGAUGGUGAAUCGUGGGAUGCCAUUGGGACAAGGUUCGUUCCUGAAAAUGAGCUUGGCGACCUUGCUCUAUGCUGCAGGCUAGAAGCUAACGCCUCGCACGUUUGGCUGCCUUUGAGAUUGGGAACUAUUCUAGCUAAUCUAUAUCUAUACAAAUAAGCCUACCAAUCUAGCUAGAACAGUUCCGGGGCAGCUAUUCUAGAUUAGCCCCAUUCGUUUUUACAGGAACAAUUCCUAGCCACACAAUCCAUUCACAGAUUUGUACUAACCAGAAAUUAUUCCAUGCCGUUCCUAGCCUAUUCCGAUGUAAACGAACAGGGCCUACAUGGGUUUCGGCUGGUACUUCUGGGUGACUAGGAACAUGGAUGAUGAUGGUACUUCUGGGUGACUAGGACCAUUGUUGGGUAUUCUUAACAUCAUUACCAAAAGUAGACUAAGUUCUCUAAAUCUAGUAACGGUACCAAAAAUGCCAAACCUAUCCCUCACACCACUUAAGCCAAGUUGUCAUCCCCAGCAUGACAUGAGAGACGUGGUAUUGAAAUAUGCAAUUGCUCUUCUAAAUAAAUAAUGAAUGGGAUCUGCAAGCGCACAGAUUAAUACCGAUGCAGCAUUUUAACCGGGAAGUAUUCCAGGUAUCGUUAUUUAUAUUUUUACCACUGGGAAGAGAUUAGCAAUCAUCAAUAUUGAUUACAGAAUAGAAUAUGAGAUUGAGUAUCUAUCAUUGCAUAUGUAAUUGAGAACAUUUAACUAACUCUUCAUAUAGGGAUAAGUGUCACAUAAAAGAUGUAUGAAAUAAUAAAUAGUGACAAGGAUAAUUAAUCUGAUCUAGCCACAUAAUAAAUAUGAUAAGCACCUCAAUUAGAUACUCUAGAAAGUCAUUAGCAUGGAAUUAGAACGAACUACAAGAAUAUUCCCUAAGUUAUUCUCAACUAUAUAGUCUAGCAUUAUCAUAGUUAGUGCAAGCAUACUUAGCAAUCAUUGUGAGACAAGACUACGCCCAUGCAUAGUGAUAUUAGCAAGGUAAAUGAGAAACAUAGCAAUCACUCCCCUGUAAUAAUGUUGCUCUGCCAGCCCAAUACACGAGAGGGGGACUAUAUAAGAAUCAAUGAAGCUGUCACUAUCACGAACUACCCCACGAUCUGGCAUAUUGGGUACAAUCGCAGAUAAAUACGGUAUAAGCACCACGCCUACACAAUAUCUAUCAUUUACCCAUGGAUCCGAUGGAUAAACGCUAUACGAUCCUAAGCAUGUAUAUAGAUCCAAUCUAACUAAGCCAAGUACAUAACUAUGAUAAACUAAGAACAAUAUAAUCUUGAAUAUAAGCAAGUAGAGCAAAGUCAUAAGCAAUAUAUUGAAGUAGAACAAAGUCAUAUUCAUAAUAUUGAAGAACAAAGAUAAUUAGAAGAACAAUUAGAAGCACAAUUAGAGAAUUACCAAGAAUCCUCUUGACAGAUCCGGAAACCAAUCGAAGAUUGACUCCUUCUAGUUCUAAUCCUAUGUAGCUAUGCUAAUCUAGAUAUCUAAUUGAUGUGGUGGCUCUAAUCUUGAUCAGAGGCUUCUUCUCCCUUGAGGAAUAAGAAUUAGGGUUUAGAGGCUCUCUCCUCCAGGGGCCAGGGGGUCUGGUUUUAUAGUCCCUUCAAGUGAAUAUGGGCCGUUGGAUCAAACCGACAUAGAUUGUAUGGUUUAGAUUCAUCCUUUAGGUCGGUGGAGAUCUCCCACGAAGCAGAGUCCUGAUUGGACUCAGGGAGGGGGCGGGCACCCAGGGGAACAGGGCGGGCGCCCUGCCACUGGCCCCGUUUCGUCUCCGCUUCGGUCUCGUGGCUUCUGGAGUCUUCUAGAUGUAAGAUAAUUGUGCGAUACGUUAAUAUCUCUUUGUAAUCCCGACGUGUGGGCCUUUCUUCCGUAUUUCCUCAUAACCCCCUGUAGAAAUAGACAAACACCAAAACUCGUGGAAUUCUGUC
rnacentral:lncRNA from 1 species